CCUGCCCAAUGGUUGUAUCUAAAAGCGGUUGAUAAAAGUCGACCGCGUAAGGACAAUUGAAUGGCCGCGGUAACACUGACCGUGAUAAUGUAGCGUAAUCAAUAGCCAAUUAAUUGUUGGCCAGUAUGAAUGGCGCCACGAAGGCCCCACUGUCUUAAGGAAAUUCCCAGUGAAAUUGAAUUYGUAGUGAAGAUGCUACGUCCAAUUUGUUAGACGAAAAGACCCCGUUGAGCUUUACUGGGGCACUUACACGGCCCCGGCCUUCAAGACUGGGUUGAUAAGCCAAGGCUUACCAUACCUAGGGACCGGCCGAAUUUAAAUGGGUGGCUUAGACUAUGUGGCAGCCCCCCCCGUCGGGGCAGAUGAAACCCCACUCCCCCAUGUCAAAGGGGCUAACCCCCCCCCCUUGGGGGGGGACAAUGUAAGUAGGACAGUUUGGUUGGGGCGACCGCCUUUUAGAAAGUAACGAAGGUGCGCUUAAGGUGCGUAAUUAAUGACUGAAGCCUGACUGCGAGGGGGAUACCCCGAGCAGACACCCCCAAGCCCGCCCGAGAAGGCUUUGCCUUCUGGGCGGCGGUGGGGUGGGCCAUAGUGACCCGUUAAUUUAGAGUGGAAUAG
rnacentral:rRNA from 1 species